rnacentral:lncRNA from 1 species
GAGACCCCUGAUCUAGAGUAAACCUGUGUGUCUUCAGACCCCUAGUGGAGUGGCUGCACUUCUUCAAAGCUUGAGCUGUGGUGGUGAACGGACAGAGAGGACACUACAUAUCUUCACCAGGACACAGAGGACACUACAUAUCUUCACCAGGACACAGAGAAUACUACAUAUCUUCACCAGGACACAGAGAACACUACAUAUCUUCACCAGGACACAGAGAACACUACAUAUCUUCACCAGGACACAGAGAGGACACUUCAUAUCUUCACCAGGACACAGAGGCACGACAUAUCUUCACCAGGACACAGAGAACACUACAUAUCUUCACCAGGACACAGAGGACACUACAUAUCUUCACCAGGACACAGAGGACACUACAUAUCUUCACCAGGACACAGAGAAUACUACAUAUCUUCACCAGGACACAGAGAACACUACAUAUCUUCACCAGGACACAGAGAGGACACUUCAUAUCUUCACCAGGACACAGAGGCACUACAUAUCUUCACCAGGACACAGAGAACACUACAUAUCUUCACCAGGACACAGAGAACACUACAUAUCUUCACCAGGACACAGAGAGGACACUUCAUAUCUUCACCAGGACACAGAGGCACGACAUAUCUUCACCAGGACACAGAGAACACUACAUAUCUUCACCAGGACACAGAGGACACUACAUAUCUUCACCAGGACACAGAGGACACUACAUAUCUUCACCAGGACACAGAGAAUACUACAUAUCUUCACCAGGACACAGAGAACACUACAUAUCUUCACCAGGACACAGAGAACACUACAUAUCUUCACCAGGACACAGAGAGGACACUUCAUAUCUUCACCAGGACACAGAGGCACGACAUAUCUUCACCAGGACACAGAGAACACUACAUAUCUUCACCAGGACACAGAGGCACGACAUAUCUUCACCAGGACACAGAGAACACUACAUAUCUUCACCAGGACACAGAGGACACUACAUAUCUUCACCAGGACACAGAGAACACUACAUAUCUUCACCAGGACACAGAGAGGACACUUCAUAUCUUCACCAGGACACAGAGGCACGACAUAUCUUCACCAGGACACAGAGAACACUACAUAUCUUCACCAGGACACAGAGAACACUACAUAUCUUCACCAGGACACAGAGGACACUACAUAUCUUCACCAGGACACAGAGGACACUACAUAUCUUCACCAGGACACAGAGGCACGACAUAUCUUCACCAGGACACAGAGGACACUACAAAUCUUCACCAGGACACAGAGGACACUACAUAUCUUCACCAGGAACUACAUUUCUCUAUUAGCAACUUUCCCUCGCUUUCCCAUCACUCUUUCAAAAGUGCAACACAGCAAAGACACUUGAUGUUUCUACUUUCAGUUUUUUCCUAUAGUGUCCUCCAUACAAUCACUGUUCCCUAAGCUAUGCCCCUGUGCUCGUUCUUCCCUUCACAGUGAAGGACUUACAUAUGAAGACAGUGGUCACAGAUAUGUACCACACUGACUGUAUGAAAGAUUGUCUCAUAUUGCCUGAUAUCCAUAUGUUUUCUUUGUUUUAAAUCUACUCUUGUUUUCCUUUCCUGUGGAAAUGUAUG